AUUGAACGCUGGCGGCAGGCCUAACACAUGCAAGUCGAGCGAGCGGCGGACGGGUGAGUAAUGUAUGGGGACUGCACGAUAGAGGGGGAUAACUACUGGAAAUGGUGGCUAAUACCGCAUACUAUCGGAUAACCCAUAUGGGAUUAGCUAGUAGGUGGGGUAAAGUUUAACCUAGGCGACGAUCUCUAGCUGGUAUGAGAGGAUGAUGUGCCACACUGGGGCUGAGACACGGCCCAAGAGCCUACGGAGGGAGCAGGGGAGAAUAUUGCACAAUGGUCGCAAGCCUGAUGCAGGCAUGCCGCGUGUAGGGAGAAGGCCUUAGUUUCGUUAAAUACAUUCAGUGGUGAGGCGUUAGCCUCGGAAGAUGCACCGGCUAACUCCGUGCCAGCAGCCGCGGUAAUUC
rnacentral:rRNA from 1 species